GACAGCUCAGCAGCUAAGAGCACUUAUUCUUAUAGAGGACCUACAUACAAUUCCCAGCAUCCACACAGCACCUCCCAACCAUCUGUAACUCCAAGUUCAAGGGAUCCCACACCUUGUUCCGACCUUUGCUUUCAGCAGGCAUGAAUAUGGUGCUCAGGAAAACACACAGGCAAAACAUGUAUACAUAAACACACACACAAAGCCUAAAAUGACGAACAUAAACCUUCAAGCUGGAGUUUGACAUGGAAAGCCUGUAUGAUUCAGAGACAAAGGUGAACUGGGAGGGCGGUGACCCUCUUCUUGAACUCCCAGCCUUUUGGGCACAGCUCUCUUGCCUUCAUCCUUAUGCCCUUCACCCAUGGACAGAUUUAUUGAUCCAAGAGGAAUGCCUGAGAGGAACACUAACUGUGUCCUCUCAGUUUCCAGUGUGUAAGCAGAUGCCCUCCGUCCCCAAGAACAGAAGGACAAGAUCAGGCCGGGAUUUGGCGCUGGCCCCUGCAGCUAGACCUGCGCGGAGACUUAGAAUUGACAGCCACCUAAGGCUCAGUGGGUUCAAGGCCCUCAGUUCAAGAAGAUGAUUCUUUCUCUUACACACUGCGUUUCGGAAGGCAGAGGAGCCCAGAGUUCUGCAACGAGGUCUGCUCUGUGUUAUGGGGUCAGGUACCCCUCUAGGGUGCACACCUGGGAGUCCCUCAACCUGGGUCUGUCCGACUGUUCUGCAGUGAGAAGUGUCAAGGUUUGCCUUGCCUGGCCCCCAAAGAUAAUGAAGACCUCUCACAUCAAAAAGAGAAGACGCAAUGUGACCAACCAGCCUCCUGUUCCUGCCACCAUGCUUUCUCUCCCUUCAGAGAGAAGCUGAGACUCGGCACUGAGAGAGGCCAGGAGAGGCCAUUGGUGAAGCUGCAGCCUCAGUGGCGGUUGAAGGCCCAGGACUGAAGGGUUAUACCGAGUUGAGACUUGGCACUGUGAAGAGAGCCUAGGAGAGGCUGUUGGGAAAGUGCAGCCCAGUUGCAGAAGACCCCAGUGUUUUGGAGAUGCCAGUACCAUGGAAUGAACACCAAGAACUUCAGCAGUGGUGGAGUGGAGCCAGCCAGAGCCCAGAAGACAAGCUGUGUGUGCUGCAGAGGGCGGAGCUGGAGAAGUGACCCAAGCCCUUUGGAGAAGCCCAGAAAACAACUGAACACAAUGUUGAGCCGCACUGUGCCUGUCCACGGCAGUGAACCUCCUCCCAGCUCUCCGCUGUAAGAGACCACAACAAGAACUCCUACAGGCCAGGGAUGGGGGCUUUCCCAGAAGUCACCUCCUCACCCCUCACCUCGGACCUGCAGCAGCUGCAGCGAGGAGAAGUAAAUGCUUGUGGUUGGGAAUCACUUCAUCUAUGGUCAUUUGUCAUAGCAGCCCUAAUGGACCAAGACAAAUGGAACAGUGUUUCAUCUCAUCAGCAAGAACAUAACAAACAUAGCCAGCGUCAGCUGGCCGCACUCUGCAGAAGGAUGCUCUUGCACGGGUCGCCGUGGAAACACACUUAGGUGUGAAUCUGCAAACGUAUAUCCAGAAAGGUUGAAUGAGGAGGUCAACCUAUUUCUAGAAGAUGAGUGGCUACAGCUGUCUCCAAAGCAGACGCCAAUCAUCCUAGCUGCCAGCCCUAGCUCAAGAAAAUUAUGCACCCCUGGGCUAGUGAGAUGGCUCUGUGGGUAGAAGUACUUUCUGCCAAGCCUGAUGUUCUGAGUUCAAUACCUAGGACCCACAAGCUGUUCUCUUGACCUCCACAAGCUCAUCUGGCAUGCAUGCGUGCAUGCGUGCAUCCCCACACAUAAUAAUGUAAUUUAAAGAAUAUAUGCAGCUAUAGGAUACUGGGAAAUUGGGGUCCCCUCCUGGGGUUCAUAGCCUCAUUAACAGAAGAAUUUAAGAACAGACGCAAACAGAAGCUUAAAGACAACUUUAGAAGGGAAACUCCCAAACAGGUAAGCUGUAAAUAGAGCAGCUGCCAGGAGGGAGACAGAAGAAGGAAAGCCAAGCCAUUUUCGCUGGCAUGGAGGUCAGCUAGACAUUGGACAAGCAGCCGUGUGUUGGGAGGGGAGCAGAAGAGAAAGACUGAAGAAAACAUCAGUGUACCAGAGAAAGCGUACUUAGGGUCUGCUCAGCACCCGGAAGAAAAGUGCAGAAGAAAAAGAGAAAAAUAAUGUGUUUCUAAGUUAGGCCGACCCAGUGGGAGUUCAUGGCAGACCACGGGGACUGAGACAGAGCGGGGAGUUCUGGGAAGAAAGGGUGCAUCAUCUCAUUAAAGGUCUAACUAUUCUUCCCAUCUCUUUAA